UGGGGAAUAUUGGACAAUGGGCGCAAGCCUGAUCCAGCCAUGCCGCGUGAGUGACGAAGGCCUUAGGGUUGUAAAGCUCUUUUGGCGGGGAAGAUAAUGACGGUACCCGCAGAAUAAGCUCCGGCUAACUUCGUGCCAGCAGCCGCGGUAAUACGAAGGGAGCUAGCGUUGUUCGGAAUCACUGGGCGUAAAGCGCACGUAGGUGGGCAGUUAAGUCAGGGGUGAAAGCCCGAGGCUCAACCUCGGAAUUGCCUCUGAUACUGGCUGUCUAGAGUUCGAGAGAGGUGAGUGGAAUUCCUAGUGUAGAGGUGAAAUUCGUAGAUAUUAGGAAGAACACCGGUGGCGAAGGCAAUCCCCUGGGCCUGUACUGACGCUCAUGCACGAAAGCGUGGGGAGCAAACAGGAUUAGAUACCCUUGUAGUCCCUGAGCGGGCUGGCAAGGCG
rnacentral:rRNA from 1 species